AUGUGUAUUUGCUUCCAAGCAGUGGUCUCAGGAAGCACCAAAUCAAGAGGAUCUCGCAAUGUAAAUCCAAAAGACAUCACACCCGCACUGAGGAAUGCAACUAAUUUGCAACGACACUCUCUUGGUGAUAUCUCUAACGUUGACAUGCAUUUCCAAAGGAUCACAGGUACAGAGCUCUUUAUCAUAUGUGCCUUGCGACUCACCACCUUAUCAUGUAUAGGCUUGCCUUGUUUUGGUUAUGUUUUUAAUUUGAUUGAACAUGUAUUUGCUUUCAAACAGUGGUCGCAACAAGCAGCAAAUCAAAAGGACCUCGCAAUGAGAAUUCAAAAAACAUCACACCCGCACCGGGGAAUGCAACAAAUUUGCAACGACACCCUCUUGGUGAUGUCUCUAAUGUUGACAUGCAUUCCCAAAUGGGUUCAUGUAUGUUACCCCGUAUCAUAUGUGCCUUGCGAAUCAGCACCUUAUCGUAUGUGUUCUAUUUUUAUUUGA
rnacentral:rRNA from 1 species